UGUAAGUAUAAGCGUUCUGCACCAAAGGAGCAGAAAUAAGAUGAGGUGGCAAAGACUUUUCGGAUUUUUCCUACUGUUGAAUCAGUCGAUUAAAGGCUGUGCGCUAGUGCAUAAGACUGUGCAAACUACGUACAACGUAACAAGGAUUGGCUUUUGUUAGAGCCUGUGUAGACGUAAUAUACCAUUGGGAAUAAAAGCGUUAAAUGGCGUAGAUAUCUCAAACUCUACAUCAGAAAUGAAGUGUAUUUGCUUCAUUACAUCUGUACAUGAAAUCAACCUUGAUUAUUUGGACAACUACCAAACCAAUCUAUGUAAACAAUAUCAGUCUGCCAUCUUUUCCCGAAUUAGGGUACUGAAAACACUGGCGAUUGCCUUUCAUAUAAGUACUCAGCCUUCCAAUGGAAAUCGUGUACCAGCGUUAACAAUCGUAAAGUAAUAUGUAGCAACAAGCCAACAACAGAUUCGUCAGCUAGAUCAUAUGUACCAUCGAAACAAAGCAAUACUUGGAUCCAAUGAAAUGUAAUAUGUUUAAAGGAAAACAAGUAUCCAGCUUCCAUCUCAAGUAUUGUCGUAUCUGAGUUGAAAGCAGAUCAACAUCAAAAGUUUUGGACAGGGAUAAUUAGAGAAGCCACCUUGAUUAAUAAGGCGGGCAUAAACUUGUUGGAUACAACAAAAAUUACUGAUAAUGAUUCAUAUUCCCAAUACAAUUAUUCGGUACGAUUGAGAUUCCAAUCGAAAUCAUCACACUACAGGACAGACAAAAUAUUCGAAUGCGGAAUACGCUUUCGUAAAAGGAAGUGAAAGAGGUUAAAUUUCGUAAAAACGGGCGAGAAGCAGGCCCUGUGUUACGCAGGAGAGUCACCGGCUUUAGGGGCAGGCAUCGGCGUGUUGGUUGUCGCACUGCUUGUAGUAGGAAUAUGUUUUGCCGAAGUCAUGCUUCGAAGACGUUAAACAAUGUUUACAUGAAACAUAAAUGAAAUAUGACAACGAGAUUAUUUUGCAAAUUAGGCAAGACUAGAAUACGAAUGAUUGCAUUUAUAUUGUUUGGUGCUCAUAUACUAUAACAUAAUUUAUUAAUAAUUUAUUUCAUUAUGUUAGAACAUAUAUUUAUUGUUAAAAGUCGAAGAAAGUAUGUUUAUGAGAUAACUAGGAUUAAAAAAACAAUUGGCAUUUUAUAAUGCUGUGUAUUUACUGUUAAUUAAAUGCAUUAUAUAAUACUACUUGAUGAAAACACCUCAUUGGAAGCUAUUAUAAAAAUCAUUUCCUACGUAAACUGUUUGUUUGUAGAUUAUUUGUAUGCUCAGUCGUUUGUGUACUUUAUCAUAUAAAAAAACCAGAGGAAUUAUUUCUGCACAUUUGAAUAGAGCCCCCGAUAAGAGGAUGAUAAAAAUGACGACAUGUUGCCAAAUGCAGCGUCCAAUGUAGCAAGAGUCGAUAAAUCUGUGGUUAACCAUGCCUACUUUGUACUUGAAAAACAAACCGAGUCAGUGAUCGAACAAGUCGAUCAUAACAACGGAUCAGAUGAUCUUGAGAAAGACGUUAUUGAGGAGAACAAUUACCACUCAAUCGAUGAGCCGGCGUCAGAACCACGUGGAAACGUCAAAGGCGACUGUAGUGAUUAUGAUUGCACCACUGACGGAGCCGCAACAUCUCAUGUUAUAACCCAUGAAAAUGUAUACAAUAAACUGAAUUUUGACCGCCAGGGUAACUAUGAACAUGUUAAGGGAUCAUGUCAGAUCAAUAACAUAAUGACAAACAACGAUUACGAUACGACUGCAACUCUUAAGGCGAUACGUCCUCGGGGAAACGACGACUAUGACCACGUGGGUGACAUGGGGCAUGCUCCUGCUCUCUCGUCAAGCGAUGACGAUUAAAGCUCAACAGUGAAGUUCGCGACGCAUUCAAGAGAAACAGCCGCAGAAUUGGGCAAGCGUGAUGAAAGUGAUGGACAAAUUCCGUUCGUCAAAGUUUAAGAAGCCAACCAACGGCACCAGAGAUGUGUUCGCCUCUAACAAAUUAAUAAACGCACAUGGGUUCUUCAUGUUACUGCAGGAGUUAUUAGCACGUACAUUUUAACGGAUUGGUGAUGAACGACAUUACCAUAGUACGCUUCCAAUGUAUUUGAUGUGUAUCCAUUACUAUUUUAUUUUAUCAUGUUUGUUAAUGGUAAAAUAUUGAAAAAUGAGUCAAUUCUGUUCCCAGGAAACUAUGCAAACCCACGGACGAAUUUGACAGAUGUUCAAACAUAUCUAAGGCAACUCAGCAUACCAACUUUCUAUGGAGAAAUAGUUCAUUUCCCAAUGUGUUUGUAUACUAUUUUUAAUAUUAUUAUGAAUCGCAAUUUAGAGUAAACACUUUAUUUGUGUAUAUUUGUUAAAAAGUUGCUGUAUUUGACAGGAAAUGUUGCUAUUCAUUGUUAAUGCACAUAACAGUUCACUAUCUGAAUGCAAUAAGACAUUGCAAUUAUGCAUUACCCAUGUUUGUAAAUAUCUGUGUAUACAUGUGUAUAAACAUAAACUGCCGUAAAUUACUAUCAAUACACGUUUUGUGUGUUGUCUUAGCAAUCUUUGCAAAUCAAUAUAAUACUUGAAAUGA